rnacentral:rRNA from 1 species
GCUUAACACAUGCAAGUCGAGGGGCAGCAUGGUCUUAGCUUGCUAAGGCCGAUGGCGACCGGCGCACGGGUGAGUAACACGUAUCCAACCUGCCGUCUACUCUUGGACAGCCUUCUGAAAGGAAGAUUAAUACAAGAUGGCAUCAUGAGUCCGCAUGUUCACAUGAUUAAAGGUAUUCCGGUAGACGAUGGGGAUGCGUUCCAUUAGAUAGUAGGCGGGGUAACGGCCCACCUAGUCUUCGAUGGAUAGGGGUUCUGAGAGGAAGGUCCCCCACAUUGGAACUGAGACACGGUCCAAACUCCUACGGGAGGCAGCAGUGAGGAAUAUUGGUCAAUGGGCGAGAGCCUGAACCAGCCAAGUAGCGUGAAGGAUGACUGCCCUAUGGGUUGUAAACUUCUUUUAUAAAGGAAUAAAGUCGGGUAUGCAUACCCGUUUGCAUGUACUUUAUGAAUAAGGAUCGGCUAACUCCGUGCCAGCAGCCGCGGUAAUACGGAGGAUCCGAGCGUUAUCCGGAUUUAUUGGGUUUAAAGGGAGCGUAGAUGGAUGUUUAAGUCAGUUGUGAAAGUUUGCGGCUCAACCGUAAAAUUGCAGUUGAUACUGGAUAUCUUGAGUGCAGUUGAGGCAGGCGGAAUUCGUGGUGUAGCGGUGAAAUGCUUAGAUAUCACGAAGAACUCCGAUUGCGAAGGCAGCCUGCUAAGCUGCAACUGACAUUGAGGCUCGAAAGUGUGGGUAUCAAACAGGAUUAGAUACCCUGGUAGUCCACACGGUAAACGAUGAAUACUCGCUGUUUGCGAUAUACUGCAAGCGGCCAAGCGAAAGCGUUAAGUAUUCCACCUGGGGAGUACGCCGGCAACGGUGAAACUCAAAGGAAUUGACGGGGGCCCGCACAAGCGGAGGAACAUGUGGCUUAAUUCGAUGAUACGCGAGGAACCUUACCCGGGCUUAAAUUGCAGAUGAAUUACGGUGAAAGCCGUAAGCCGCAAGGCAUCUGUGAAGGUGCUGCAUGGUUGUCGUCAGCUCGUGCCGUGAGGUGUCGGCUUAAGUGCCAUAACGAGCGCAACCCUUGUUGUCAGUUACUAACAGGUUCCGCUGAGGACUCUGACAAGACUGCCAUCGUAAGAUGUGAGGAAGGUGGGGAUGACGUCAAAUCAGCACGGCCCUUACGUCCGGGGCUACACACGUGUUACAAUGGGGGGUACAGAGGGCCGCUACCACGCGAGUGGAUGCCAAUCCCCAAAACCUCUCUCAGUUCGGACUGGAGUCUGCAACCCGACUCCACGAAGCUGGAUUCGCUAGUAAUCGCGCAUCAGCCACGGCGCGGUGAAUACGUUCCCGGGCCUUGUACACACCGCCCGUCAAGCCAUGGGAGCCGGGGGUACCUGAAGUGCGUAACCGCGAGGAGCGCCCUAGGGUAAAACUGGUGACUGGGGCUAAGUCAUAA